UACGGAGGUGGCAAGCGUUGUUCGGAUUUAUUGGGUGUAAAGGGUAUGUAGGUGUCCUGACAAGUCGAACGUGAAAUCCCUUGGCUUAACCAAGGAACUGCAUUCGAUACUGUCAGGAUUGAGCGUGGAAGAGGAGAGCGGAAUUCCCGGUGUAAGGGUGAAAUCUGUAGAUAUCGGGAGGAACACCAGUGGCGAAAGCGGCUCUCUGGUCCAAUGCUGACACUGAAAUACGAAAGCUAAGGGAGCAAACAGG
rnacentral:rRNA from 1 species